UGCGCACUAAGGAAAGGCGGCCCUGGAGCGCCUAGCGGAGAGCAAAGAAAGGUCGAUGAUGGAAAUCGACCGCGUGGUGGUGCUAAUACCCUCAGGAUGCGAGGCUGUCGAGGCUGUCUCCUACCAGACAGAAACCGAGGUCCAAGGAAGAGGAGGGGAGAGUUUCGGAGCCAAAUGGUUAUCCUCCAACUAGACUUUACACCCGAUGUUCACUUAGUCUCCCUAGGACAUGUUGUUUCCUUUGCUUCCAGGAACUUUGUCAAGGGCACCAAAGAGGGUCUCUGCCUACGCCUGGCCUCAUCAGCUUGACAGAGUAAGGACUGCACAUUUGUGGGUGUAACAGGACCCAUGGGACUUUUUUUUUUUUUUUUUUUUUUGACAGAAUCUUACUAUGUAAGGCCAGGCUGGCCUCCAAUUUACAGAAAUUCAC
rnacentral:lncRNA from 1 species